UCGUAACAAGGUUUCCGUAGGUGAACCUGCGGAAGGAUCAUUGUCGAACCCUCGCGGUAGAAUGACUUGCCAACCUGUACCAAUUAUUGAUUCGAGUGUCGGGGUGCUAUCUUUCUGAUUUGCCCAGACGAACAAAAACACCGGCGCAGCAGCGCCAAGGAAUAUAAUAAUGAGUGUGCAACCUUGCAGAAUUGGUGUGAAUUGCAGAAUCCCGUGAACCAUCGAAACUUUGAACGCAAGUUGCGCCUCAAGCCAUUGGGUUGAGGGCACGUCUGCUUGGGUGUCAUGCACUAUGUCUCCCCUCUCGUGUGUGGAGUGGGAAUAGAUCCUGGCCUCCUGGGCCCUUCCUUGGGCGUGGUUGGCCGAAAAUGUUGUCCUGGAUUUUGUUGAUGUCUUGGUGAGCGGUGGAUGUGCCAGGGGUGCAUAGUUGCCAGCCUUGCUCGACUUCAUUGUGGCGUUGGGAUCCUAUGAAGCUGCCGUUUUUUGCUCUUUGAUUGCGACCCCAAGUCAGGCGAGACUACCCGCUGAGUUUAAGCAUAUCAAUAAGCGGAGGAAA
rnacentral:rRNA from 1 species